GCAAAAAAAACAACAAAACAGUGGAAAAAUUGAUGUAAUAAGAUGCGCCAAAGAAAUUGAGGAAAUUUAGAUUUAAAUACUCUGCUAAGUCUACCCUAUUGUAUCAGUAACUAUAUAUUCUGAUAGGAUAAACUAUAAAAGUUAGAUAUGGUAACAGUGAAUUUCCGGUCACAGACAUAUCUACAUUAAAUAACUACAAGUGAGAAUGCAAGGCUUAAAUAUAUUUAGCUAUAGUCUCUGGAUUCACAUCUGAACAGCUUCUAAUUAGUGCUGUGCAAUUAAUAAUUCACACUUUAGAAACUGACUACUACGUGUUUAGUCUACUUUGACCCAAGUAACCAUUAAUACUUCUUUCAAAAAGCCAAGCAAAUAAAUUAUUGCAAGAGUUAGC